UGCUCACUGGAAGGACAGAUCCUGAAGCUGAGGCUCUAAUACUUUGGCCACCUCAUGAGAAGAGAAGACUCCCUGGAAAAGACCCUGAUGUUGGGAAAGAUAGAGGGCACAAGGAGAAGGGGACGGCAGAGGACGAGAUGGUUGGACAGUGUUCUCGAAGCUACCAGCACGAGUUUGACCAAACUGCGGGAGGCAGUGGAAGACAAGAGUACCUGUCGUGCUCUGGUCCAUGGGGUCACAAAGAGUCGGACACGACUAAACGACUAAACAACCACAACCACUGAUAGAGCACAUAGCACCUUUUCCUUCUUUUUUUAAUAGCAUCAAAUUAGUAGUACAUCAUAGACUAUCAUAGAGUUUUAGAGCUGGAAGGUGUGGGAUGAAAGGAUCCCAAAUGCUAAGUAAAGGGUUAAUGAUCACAAGGGCUACAGAACUCUGUGAUGCCAUAAACCUGAGGCAGCUAUUUUCAGUUGGUACCGUUAUGGCAGUUGGGAACAGUCUUGACAGUUAGAGCAUCAGGUACGUUCUGUGGGUGUGCUGCAGAACAUACAGCAGGUAUGUUGCUCUCUGUCUCAGAGUUAGUCAGUCUGCGACAGAAUUUUAUCUCACCUACAAAUCUAGGAACAGCACCAGGAAGGGGGAAAUCAACUUGGCCUUAACCAUUGCCUAGAGUACGUGAGGUUGCAGGAAGCCCAUAUAAUCAAGUGUGGGCCCAAAUCAGAUCCUUCUUGACUAUAUCCAAGAGUAGGCCUUUGGGCCUUGCUUGGUCUUGUCUCCUUUCCUCACUACUGAAACCUCUGACACCUCCGUGAAGCCUGAAACAGUACCCCUGAAUGGUCCUUGCCAGAGUGAAACAUUUCUCCUCUAUAGCGAACUCCGCUCUGCAGGGUUAUCAAGCAUUGUUCAAGAAGAAAUCUCCACUCCCAUGGAGCACAUUAAAUUACUUCUCAGCCGCGCUUUCCCUAUUUGGUCUCAUUUCGCUGCAUCUCACGCUGGGUAGUUCCAUUCGACUUGGACUUGUACAGAACUUCCUUUUGCGACUUGACGGGUGCAGCAGUCCUGUUCGUGAUGAAAUUAAAAGCAUUCAUCCACAAAGACAAGGCUUCUCUCAGCCUCUGCCAUUCCUCUAAGCUGUAGGAUUAUCCCCACCCACCCAGUUCAUCAUGCCAGAGAACGGAGAAGGGGAAUUGAAGGAAGGGGAAAAUCUUCUCUUUCGCUGGUGAAGGGUUACUAGCAAUGAAUUAGAUUUAAUGUUA